GUAAGGAGAGGGGGAGAUUCGCUUUCAACGACACGCGCUGCGAAUCGGAGCGACGUGUCGCGUCGUUCCGCUGACAAGUGACGACCGCCGAUGCAUCCGGGCCGGCUGCCAGCGCGCUGGGGUUUUGAAGAAACAUCAAGCACGCAUGGCCGAGCGACUCCGCGGCUCUCCGCGUUGGAGGGCGAACCUUACAAGGCGUGACGGAGUAAAACGGAGCAAUGAAAGUUAGUGAUAAGCCACGGAAGAUGUCGUCGAUCCAGAUGAGCAACACCGAAAAAAUGAAAUAUCAGAGGAAAUGUCAGCUCCGCCCACUGGAUAAGAAACUUUGCCACCACAGCUGGCAAGUGAAUGAUUCCAAGGUGCCGCGGGACUCGCCGGGCCACCUUUGGGGAUUACAUCCAAUUAAAAAAGUGCCGCUCAACCUCGACAAACAGAGCCCGCCUCCUUGUCGGGAAGCGGCGUUCCACCUCCACGUUUCAUCUCGCGGAUGAGAAAACUCACAUAUUUUCUUGUUGUCACUAUUGACUGCGUCUCUAAUUAAGCACUCGCACUUAAUCUGGUAUGGAAAUGUCUUGUACCUUCUUUCAUGUGUGCAUGUAGAGCAGGCGAGGAUCAUAAACGCACACACUGAGCCACUUGAAUGAACCUCACUUGAUGUAAACGCAAGUCGGAGCGGGGCAGUGUAUGCUUGGAUGCGACGUGGGUGACCAGGCAGGAUCUUAAGGGCCAAACAAGCUUAGCCAAAAACACACAACGGCAAGGAAUGAAAUAUAUUCCAGUCUCGGAAAAUAAGUACGUCGGUUAUAGGUAGCUAAAAGUAGUGUGUUGAACUUCCCAGUCCAAGAAAAUAAACAUGGCCGAAAUUAUUUACCCAAAAAAAUUACAAAAAUAAAACUCGUAACACUUAUUGUUUUAGUGACACUGCAUUACAAAUAAGUCACGUGAGCCACGUGGGCCAAUACUAGCUUGAUUCCAGUGCUAAUGCUAUCUUAGUAUUGAUAGCGCUGCCAUUUUGUAGAAGCUGUAUAUGGGUUCUCGGAGACUAUUUGUCCAUGACUUUGCACAUUCACCAUUCGUUCUGACAAGCCACGAUGGACAGCCAUUUUUAAGAAUUGCGCUCAUGCGGGUAAGUGAGGGAACGUCUUUGGUCAGAGACUCGAGAGGUGAGGGAUAGGGAAGUGAGGCUACGUUCCAAAUCUUGCUAGCAAUUUUAACAUGGCAAACUCUCCCUUAACAAUGUUAACAACCUCCUCGGCGGAGAUCAUUCAUUACCAAUGUAUAAGUGACUUUUUAACUGAAUUGCACUUGAUGUAUUCCCCUCACGAACGUGCACUACAGGACAUUUUUAAAUCAAGCUUUAGGUUGACAUCAUUAGGCACAAACAGUUGCCGUCCGGCACCUGGCGCAACGUUCUGACGGUUGCCAUGGAGUUUCUAACGCUCAAGGCUGCCUUGGCAUUUACCUUACAUGAAAACGGCAGAUUUUUCACUGUUUUUUUUUCUUCUUUCGCUUCCUGUAAUUAUUAGUCCGAAAGACAUUGGAACACUGACACAUUGUUUGCACCUCAGCAUGUACAAGCAGCAGUGGUUAGUGACAACAUGUCGGCUUAUUAUCUUGGUUGCGACAGAAAGCGGUGGCGACUUGGAGGCCUCGGUGAAAGCACGGACGGGCCUGGCUAAUUGGCGCCACCCUGGCGCUGGAGAUUGAUCUGGGUGAUAACCAGACCAGCAGUCUGGACCUCUUACCAGUAAAUUAAACCUGAUCAAGUUCAUUUAUAGAAUGACAAGAAGGGAGGAAGGAGGAUCACAAUCCACCAAAUGUAAAGACUCCACGCCGGUCAAAAACAGGCCAAAAGGUGGGUGACAAAGUGGAAUUGGUCAAAGCGAGGAAAAAAAACAACAAUUAUCCAAGCCUGAAAACAUCAAAAGUCAAGCCGCCUCUUGCAAAGCUGUGCUUGCCACCUUCUCCAAUACAAUCGAAUAUCAUCAAGUUAUUGGCAUAUACUGUAAAAUGUAAAACCAUCUCCAAACAUUGGGGGGGUUAGGAUACAAAUCCAGCCUCUCGUGUCCCCGGCCUCUUUGAGUAGAUUCGGUUGCCUACCUCCAGCUGGAAUCCUAUUAUGACUAAUUCCACAUUAAGAUCGACGAGGAAUGGCAAUAAGUAUUACGUGGUUAGCCCAGGGACUCGCUCAAAGACUUGGAUGAGGAAAGGAAAAGAUAUAUUUACAUUCGAGUCAAGCCGAGCCUCCGGCGGCAGGUUAAAUAGAGGGAGAAAAAAAAAUAUUCAUAAGCGACUUCAAAACACUUUAGGUUUUUGGAGAGUACCAAGACAAAAAAAAAAUGAUGGCACUCUCAAAUGGCUAGUUUAACUGGUUCAUUCAGUUCUGAUAU